CAGCGGGAACAUAAGAAGACGGAAAUUGAGUUUCAUAAAGCGAGGGCUGAAUUGAAAGAACAAUACAAAGGGUUUUUUAAAAACCUCCAAGGGGAAGGAAAGACUGAAUUUUGGCUUUCUAAAUUGAAGAACAAUGAAGUACUUGCUAAGAAGAUUACACAACUGGAUGAAGGGGCCUUCCAGCAUUUAAAAAAUAUUCGUUGUAGAAAGAUUCCUAAUGGAUUCAAGCUGGAGUUCUUAUUUGAUUCUAAUCCUUAUUUUAAAGAUUCUAAGCUCAAGAAAACAUUUCGCACAACUUCUGGCAACAAGCCUAAAGUCACAGAGGCAACCGGGAUGGAGAUCGAGUGGCAUCCUGGGAAAAGCUUGACUGAAACUGAAAAUGGUGACAGCUUCUUCAACUUCUUUAAGUCCCCUGUUGCCGACACUGCAGAAAAAGUCCAAAGACUUAUGGAGCAGGACUAUUGCAUUGGGUAUGUAACUAUUACCUUCACUAUGGCUGAGUUAAUGCAUCAAGUAACCGC